GUUUAGCUGACGAAUCUCAAAUAGGAUGAAACACGUGUCGUAGAU
rnacentral:hammerhead_ribozyme from 1 species